AAAAUAUUUUCUGGAAAGUAAUGCUGACAGGUGAUAUGCUUUUAAAGAAUGGCUUCUUACUAGCCAUGAGUGUUUCUGGGAGUGCUCCCAAGAAGCAGAGAAAAGUCGUGACAUUACAAUAAAAAGUUCAAUUACUUGAUAUGUAUCAUAGAUUGAGGUUUGCAGCUGCAGUGGCCACCAUUUCAAACAGAUUAUUUAUCUUGUAAACAGAUGACAUAAACUUACAGCAUCAAUGAAUAAAGUGUAGUUCUGUACAUUUAUUUUUCUUCCUUAUGAUUUUCUAACAUGUUCUUUAUCUUUAUUGUAGGAAUACAGUAUAUAAUACAUAUGACAUAGAAAAUGUGUUCAUCAACUGUUUGUUAUUAGUGAGGUUUCCAGUCCACAGCAGACUAAUAGUAAUUACAUUUUGGGGGAGUUAAAAGUUACAUGAGGAUUUUUUAUGGCAGGGGCUGGAAACCCCAACCCCUUCAUUGUUCAAGGGUUGGUUGUAAUCGUUUUGAAAAUGAAAAGUACAUUCUUUGAAAUGACCAUAUAGAAAGAUCCAAGCUGGAACCUGCAAAACAAAGGUUGGAACUGGAAUUUUAUGAUUCAAUAUAGGCUUUCUGAUGAUUAAGAAAAUUUAAUCUAUGUUAUCUUCUUACAUGUCUUAUGACAAAUGAAAAGUAGCAUGUAUUGUUUUUAUGCUAGGAAGCUUUAAAAGUGUUAUUGUUUGGCUCCGUUUGAGAUCUUUUCAGUUGCCCCUUUAAAAGUAGCUGACUUAGAAAGUGCUCAGGUAAUGUCAGUGUCAGUUUUCUGAUGAGCUACCAAGCGCUGAUGUGCUCCUGAGUGAGGGCACAACCGUGUUUGAGUGAGAGUCUCAGCUGAGUGGACAGGUGGCCAUUUGGCUAGGUAACAGUAGGGCUGUCUCUACAGAAAAAUUCACAAGUAAAGCUGAUGACAGAAGUAGAAAUGAAUCCUUUAUUGGCGUGAGGUAGGUAGAUUCAAUCACAGUUAAUUAAGGAUGACAGAAAAGA
rnacentral:lncRNA from 1 species